GCCCACAUAGCUCAGUCGGCAGAGCGCAUCCAUGGUAAGGAUGAGGUCGUCAGUUCGAUUCUGACUGUGGGCUCCA
rnacentral:tRNA from 2 species